GCAGAAAUGGCGGAAUGGUAUACGCGCUAGGCUGAGGGUCUAGUCUCCGUUAAGGGGGUGGGAGUUCGAGUCUCCUUUUCUGCACCA
rnacentral:tRNA from 1 species